AGCGAACGCUGGCGGCAGGCCUAACACAUGCAAGUCGAACGAACUCUUCGGAGUUAGUGGCGGAUGGGUGAGUAACCCGUGGGAACGUGCCUUUAGGUUCGGAAUAACUCAGGGAAACUUGUGCUAAUACCGAAUGUGCCCUUCGGGGGAAAGAUUUAUCGCCUUUCGAGCGGCCCGCGUCUGAUUAGCUAGUUGGUGAGGUAAAGGCUCACCAAGGCGACGAUGAGUAACUGGCAUGAGAGGGAGCUCAGCCAGAUUGGGACUGAGACACGUCCCAAACUUUGAGGCUAGGAAGCAGCCGAGACUCCUACGCGAGGGGGGAGAGGGGGAUCUAGCGCAGUGGGCGAAGGGCUGACGGUCCCAUGCCGCGUGAAUGAUGUAGGUCUUGGGGAAGUAAAGUUCUUUCACCGGGGACGAUAUUGACGGUACCCGGAGAAGAAGCCCCGGCUAACUUCGUG
rnacentral:rRNA from 1 species